AUUGAACGCUGGCGGAAUGCUUUACACAUGCAAGUCGAACGAUGAACCUUAGCUUGCUAAGGGGAUUAGUGGCGAACGGGUGAGUAAUGUAUCGGAACGUAUCCAAUAAUGGGGGAUAACUAGUCGAAAGAUUAGCUAAUACCGCAUACGUCCUACGGGAGAAAGCUAGGGACCUUCGGGCCUGGCGUUAAUGGAGCGGCCGAUAUCUGAUUAGCUAGUUGGUGGGGUAAAGGCUCACCAAGGCGACGAUCAGUAGCUGGUCUGAGAGGAGGACCAGCCACACUGGAACUGAGACACGGUCCAGACUCCUACGGGAGGCAGCAGUGGGGAAUUUUGGACAAUGGGCGAAAGCCUGAUCCAGCCAUUCCGCGUGAGUGAAGAAGGCCUUCGGGUUGUAAAGCUCUUUCGCAAGAGAAGAAAACUUAAGCUCUAACAUAGCUUGAGGUUGACGGUACCUUGAUAAGAAGCACCGGCUAACUACGUGCCAGCCGCCGCGGUAA
rnacentral:rRNA from 1 species